rnacentral:tRNA from 1 species
GCCUGCGUAGCUCAGUUGGUAGAGCACGUCCUUGGUAAGGACGAGGUCAUCGGUUCAAUCCCGAUCGCAGGCU